UCUUGCAAUCUGCCUAAAUAGAAAUCCAAGCAAAUCUAUCAUGAAACUAACUUUAUUGUUUGUUUGUUUAUUGCUAUUGUUUGUUUAUUACUUAGGCCUGUUACUUAUUACUUAGUUUGUUUAUGACUUAAGCCUGUAGGCCACUUCAAUCAUAGCUGCUAAAUGGCAGAAUAAAAAGACAUUGCAACUGAUGCACUAUGAAAAUGCUGCCCUAACACAACAAAUGCCACCUAUAUGGGGCCAUCUACAUUUCGCCCUCUAAAGCUUCCUGAACAACCAGCUCCAAAUGGCUUUUCUGAGGUCCACAAGGGUUGGGGUUCUCUGAUUGCAGGAGGAUUGCUGUUCCAAUAGGAGGGGGGUGGAAACAAGCAACAUUUAGUUCCUCAUGUUCUAUUGAGAUUUUCAGUAAAUGAUGAUAUACACUAAUGUGCAUGGAUGGCAUCUGGAUGUGAGCAAAUGGCGCCGCCACUGGAAGCUUCUGCACAAACCAGAGCAGCCACUAUCAGAACAAACAUGAGAGAGAGCUGCUGCUUCCCUGCCAAAGGGACAAAGUACCAUCUAGCGGGCAAGGGAAUAAAGGACUCAAUCAUGA